CAUUGAACUAUAAAUAAACUGGAAGGCUAACUGCUAUGAUGUAGGCCUAUGAUUUGAUGAAGCCAAAAUAGUUUUUCUGAGUUAUGAGCUGAAAUACUUGACCCCAAACGUUCGGCUAUAUAUCAAAAUGAAGCUAUUGAAAAUUGCUAUUCGGUGUGGAAAUUUCAAGACUUCAGCGAAAAGAUAAAUGUUUAAAAAAUACAAAAACAACUGCAAAAUGGCAAAUUAUCGGUAAUUAUGUUUGUAGUUUUUCAAUAUUUCCCUUUUAGCUAAAGUCUUGAAAUUUCUACACCAAAUAGCGUUUUUCAAUAGCUUCAAUUUGAUAUAUAGCCCAACGUUCAGUGUUGAGUAUUUCUGCUCAUAACUCAGAAAAACUAAAAUGCACUGGCUUCAAUUCCCCCCCUCCCCCUGAGUUAGCCUUCC